UACGUAGGGUGCAAGCGUUAAUCGGAAUUACUGGGCGUAAAGCGUGCGCAGGCGGUUAUGCAAGACAGAUGUGAAAGCCCCGGGCUUAACCCGGGAAUGGCAUUGGAUACUACUGGUCUGGAGGGUUGGAGGGGGGACUGGAAUUCUUGGUGUAGCAGUGAAAUGCGUAGAUAUCAAGAGGAACACCAGUGGCGAAGGCGAGUCCCUGGACAAACCCUGACACUGAGGCACGAAAGCCAAGGGAGCAAACAGG
rnacentral:rRNA from 1 species